GAUGAACGCUGGCGGCGUGCCUAAUACAUGCAAGUCGAGCGAAGCGGGGACGGGUGAGUAACACGUGGAUAACCUCCUAUAAGACUGGGAUAACUUCGGGAAACCGGAGCUAAACCGGAUACCAUCAGAUGUGCCCAGAUGGGAUUAGCUAGUAGGUGGGGUAACGGCUUACCAAGGCAACGAUGCAUAGCCGACCUGAGAGGGUGAUCGGCCACACUGGAACUGAGACACGGUCCAGACUCCUACGGGAGGCAGCAGUAGGGAAUCUUCCGCAAUGGGCGAAAGCCUGACGGAGCAACGCCGCGUGAGUGAUGAAGGUCUUCGGAUCGUAAAACUCUGUUAUUAGGGAAGCGGUACCUAAUCAGAAAGCCACGGCUAACUACGUGCCAGCAGCCGCGGUAAUAC
rnacentral:rRNA from 1 species